UCACACCUCCGAACCAACUCAGCCGCAAACUUUCUCAUGGUGGGCCAGUAGUAACCCUGCCAUAGGACUUUGUAGGCCAAAAAUUUGCCCCCCAAGUGAUUUUCGCAGAUCCCUUCGUGCACCUCUCUGAGCACGUAGUCCGCGUCAGUCGGUCCUAAGCACCUGAGCAAGGAAAGGAAGAACGAUCUUUUGUAAAGUCGGCUGUCCAUCAUUACAUAUUGGGAGGCCACCCAUCGA
rnacentral:lncRNA from 1 species